UAUCAGUGGGAGAAGUUGACCUC
rnacentral:miRNA from 1 species